UGAAACCUUUUACCUAUACGUAGGUACUAAAUACAUAUUUGUGUUUUCCUCCCAGAGCUCCAGCUCUUCCAGAACCACAGAAGACUUGCAGCAUGGUGGUCUGAUGAGCUGCCUGAAGUGUGCGUCACAGGUGGGCCCACCAGGAGCCCCUGCAGCUGAGCAGCCCUGCAGACGCAUGACAGCAUCUGGUGAAACUUCAUUUCCACACAGGUGUUGGUGACAUGGCUGAAUCCUGCAGAAAUGAGUGAUUCCCUUGCUUCUUUCCUUUGUGGCCUUGACUACGCAGCUCCAAGAGGGAAAGAGUGGAGAAAUUGCUAUUCCAGUACUCAGAGACAUGAGUCCAGUGGUUCUAGGAGGAUUCAGGAAUCAAAGAGGGACAACACAGCAGAGAUGGAGAUGAACGCGUCUCUCAUAGCAGAAAGAGGAGAGAUGCACAAAAAGCAAGUGAGUGGAGGCUCUUAGCUUUUACUUUGCAUUUAUUAAUGGAGAUGAUGAUGAUGAUGAUGGUGAUGAUGAUGAUGAUGAUGAUGAUGAUGAUGAUGAUGAUGGUAUACAUGUGUGGGUUCGAUAUACUCAAGUUAGUUUUAGGCAAUUUACUGGGUGAAAUGGUAUAGACUAUUUCAGUAAGUGGUCAUGUGCAGAGGUUUUCAAACAUAGCUGAUUAUUUCUGCCAGUAAUACUUAAAAUAUGUAUGUUUCCUG
rnacentral:lncRNA from 1 species